AUUAAGUUCUUGCAUAUUUAAGUCCAGCGUUUCAAGGAUGGCUUUUUGUGCGUUUACUCAUUGCUUGUGCUUGUUUCAUCUUUUGGCCAGCGUUAUUUCUGCAAAUGGAAAUACAGUUGGUUUUGAAAAGACGUCUAUGACUGUUCCUGAAAAUAUAGGUCAGGUCACAUUUUGUAUCAUUUUUUACAAGACCAGUAGCCGGUAUGUGGAAGGAAGGUACAAAGAAUGGAAGAGUCCUGAGUUAAUGCAGCAUUAAUAGUCUUAAUUUUUUCUCUCUCAAAGUGUUACAGAUAUAAU